rnacentral:rRNA from 1 species
UACAGAGGGGGCAAGCGUUGUUCGGAAUUACUGGGCGUAAAGGGCGCGUAGGCGGCCUGUUAAGUCGAACGUGAAAUCCCCGGGCUCAACCCGGGAACUGCGUGUGAUACUGGCGGGCUUGAAUUCGGGAGAGGGAUGUGGAAUUCCAGGUGUAGCGGUGAAAUGCGUAGAUAUCUGGAGGAACACCGGUGGCGAAGGCGGCAUCCUGGACCGAGAUUGACGCUGAGGCGCGAAAGCCAGGGGAGCAAACGGG